UACGUAGGGUGCAAGCGUUGUCCGGAAUUAUUGGGCGUAAAGAGCUCGUAGGCGGUCUGUUGCGUCGGCUGUGAAAACCCGGGGCUCAACCCCGGGCCUGCAGCCGAUACGGGCAGACUAGAGUUCGGCAGGGGAGACUGGAAUUCCUGGUGUAGCGGUGAAAUGCGCAGAUAUCAGGAGGAACACCGGUGGCGAAGGCGGGUCUCUGGGCAUGUCCUGACGCUGAGGAGCGAAAGUGUGGGGAGCGAACAGG
rnacentral:rRNA from 1 species